rnacentral:rRNA from 1 species
CGGUGAAUACGUUCCGGACCUUGCACACACCGCCCGUCAAGCCAUGGAAGUGGGGUGUACCUUAAGGACGAUAACCGUAAGGAAUUGUCCAAGUAAACUCGUAACUGGGGCU